rnacentral:rRNA from 1 species
AGAGUUUGAUCCUGGCUCAGGAUGAACGCUAGCGGCAGGCUUAAUACAUGCAAGUCGUGGGGCAGCAUGUCCCGCAGCAAUGCGGGAUGAUGGCGACCGGCAAACGGGUGCGGAACACGUACGCAACCUUCCUUUAACUGGAGAAUAGCCCGGGGAAACCCGGAUUAAUACUCCGUAACAUUAUGAAGUGGCAUCACUUUAUAAUUAUAGCUCCGGCGGUUAAAGAUGGGCGUGCGUCUGAUUAGGUAGUUGGCGGGGUAACGGCCCACCAAGCCUACGAUCAGUAACUGGUGUGAGAGCACGACCAGUCACACGGGCACUGAGACACGGGCCCGACUCCUACGGGAGGCAGCAGUAAGGAAUAUUGGUCAAUGGACGCAAGUCUGAACCAGCCAUGCCGCGUGGAGGAUGAAGGUCCUCUGGAUUGUAAACUUCUUUUAUUUGGGAAGAAACCCCCGAUUUCUAUUGGGGUUGACGGUACCAGAUGAAUAAGCACCGGCUAACUCCGUGCCAGCAGCCGCGGUAAUACGGAGGGUGCAAGCGUUAUCCGGAUUCACUGGGUUUAAAGGGUGCGUAGGCGGGUUGGUAAGUCCGUGGUGAAAUCUCCAAGCUUAACUUGGAAACUGCCGUGGAUACUAUCAAUCUUGAAUAUAGUGGAGGUGAGCGGAAUAUGUCAUGUAGCGGUGAAAUGCUUAGAUAUGACAUAGAACACCCAUUGCGAAGGCAGCUCGCUACACUAUUAUUGACGCUGAGGCACGAAAGCGUGGGGAUCAAACAGGAUUAGAUACCCCAGUAGUCC